CAUUCAAUAUUGAAAAAAGGGAAAAUGAAUCCCUGAACCGGAUAACUGGACGUCAGUCACCAGUCCCUGACUCUGGCAAAGUUUGAACUCUUCAGAGCCCCAACUAGUGGAAAACUGGAAAACUGCACUUAAAGAGAAACUAAAAAGACAACCGCUGGUCUUCCCACAGCUUCUUAUUUACAGAUGAGGUCGCUGAAUCUCCAGCCACACUACUAGUAAGGGGGAAAGCAGAUUCAAGUCUGCUCUUUUGAGACAAAGACCAGGGACAUUUCCACUCCCCAGCAGCUGCCUACUACGUGCAAAGCCCUGAGCUGAAUGUUGCAAAGGAUACGAUGGUUACUCAUUUCCUGCAGACCUGCU